AUUUUUUUGAAACAAAUUAAAAUAUCCAUUCAGUGCCUGGCAAGACAAGGGCACAUGAGAAAGCUGCACAAACAGUAAAGCUUACGUACAAGAAGUGACAUCACAAAUGGCGAUAAAUUUGUAGGACAUUGUUGAAAUCCGGACCACAUAAUAAACCAUAGGCAACAAGCCAUACAGUGACUCCUCAAAUAAUGGAUCCUAAAGUUUCAUUUCAUGAUUAAUAAUUAGCACACAUAUAGCCCUAUAAGAGGAGAUCCAUUCAGGAAAAGAUGAACAUAAUUCUAAACCAAAGAUGGAAGAUGAAGUUCCCAUCAUCAUCUCUUCUUCUAGAACCAAAAUAAUCAUGGUAUAAUGAGAUGCACCAAAAGGUUUGCUUCGCAGGAGAUAUGGCACCGUCGCGUCCAAAUUCAUCCCCAGGAACAAGGCAGGGCUGCGCUGGUAUCAUUUCUCCAGCGGAGGAAACCUUGCAAGUGCAAUAUACAUACAUGUAGAUUUAAAGAAGGAAUGUGGGAAUAAUUUUUUCAAGGUCAGUUUAGUUUGUUUCAUGUUGUUCUUGUUUACUACAAACUCUGCUGCUGUUUUCUGUUUUCCUUGUUCUUUUUCCAGGUAAGAUAUAUGGGCUUAUGGCAGAAGAAAAGGAAUCUUUCAAAUGCAUGAUUAGUCUUUCAAAGGUUAAUUGCUCUGGUAAGCAUGGGAUAAUCAAGCUGAGAAAAUUAGCACUGAAGUUUGCUGUCAUGAAUUAUGCAUGAGAGACUAGCUUCUAAAAUUCUAGUAUGUUUUCCUUGGUGAAGGUUUAUUUUAGAGGAGUACCUCAACUAGCCGAACUAAUCAGCCCUCGGCCUCCUGAAGUAGCCUGAAAAUCUCCCGAGACCAAUAAUAGAAUGUCAGCCUCUGGAUCGAACAAUACGUUUGACAACUUCUAGAUUCGAACCUGGGAUGUUUCGAACAGAGAUAGAACUAUUCUUUAGGUUGAGUGGUUUCUUAAUAUUGUAUCAAAGCCUCUUAAAUCAAAAAGUUCAGAGUUCGAAUUCUGACAAUCUCAUUUAUUAAUUGAGUAUUUUAGUGCAAUGUAAAGAGAGCAUAUGCUUGAAAUAAAGAUACAAAAUUAUUCUUAAAAUACUCACCUACAAACUUAAACUUUUAGAUUGAAUAGUUCCUUGACAAUUUCUAAUAGUAAAUACAGUGAAGGAAGACACCUUCUAAAGCUAAAGGUUUAAA
rnacentral:misc_RNA from 1 species